GAGUGUUGAACAAAACAAGGACCUUGCUCUUGGAGGAGCUUACAGAGUAUGGGGCUCCUGGGCUGACUGAGGACCUACUAUGAACCCGAUUCUCGUCUCUGGACUCUUCACAGUAAACCUGGGAGGGACCACUUACUCCUUCUGCUUCCACUGGCUCCUGGGCUGUGGGUUGGAAUAUACAGGUAAGCCAUGGACAGUCAUGGAUGCUGAUACGUGUUUGUGCACACAUGUGUACCACAUGCACGUUACCUACAUAUAGGGGUUCAAUUUGUGUGUGUCUGAGUUCCAGAUAACUCAAAAUUUGAUUUUUUGAAAGAAUGAUCAUCUUUUUUUCAAAGACCAAGGGUCAGGGUAGGAGGUUUAAAGACACAAUAGGAGCAUAAAUUUCUUUCCUAGUGUUGUGCCCAAGAUUGUGAAUCCGAGAAACCACCAAGGAGCCGACACCGAUGCAAACACACGAGGGUUUAUUUACAAGCUCGAGCUUGGGUCCAAGUAUACCCGACACAGCGGAGCAGGGACUUGGACCCCGAAGUGGGUUACAGCUGGUUUUUUUAUAGGCUGAUCUAGGGGAUUUUCAGAAGGGGUGGAGGAAUUUCUCAAGUUCUGUUUACAUUCUGAUGUGGGGCUUUCAAGGGCAUUGAGCUCUGUUCUCAUUCUAAUAGGGGACUUUCUACCACUGGGCAUGGGCUCUGUUGUCUUUCUGAUAUGGGAUUCUCUGCCGAGGGCAAUUCUGAGCACUGUUAUCUUUCUGAUAUGGGAUUACCUGCCGAGGACAUUGAGGACAUUCUGCAGUUUUUCCUAUAAAGUUCAGCUCUUAUUCACAGGGGCCUAAGAUGGCUGUACUUGUGCUAAUGCUAAACUUGAGGUGGAAUGGCCUUGAUUUUUCUCGGCCUCCACACCUAGUAGUUACCCUGGCACCUGAGCUUCCAGAGGAUCUUAGAAAGUUGUUUUUUUU
rnacentral:lncRNA from 12 species